rnacentral:rRNA from 1 species
AGAGUUUGAUCCUGGCUCAGGAUGAACGCUGGCGGCGUGCCUAACACAUGCAAGUUGAGCGAUUUACUUCGGUAAAGAGCGGCGGACGGGUGAGUAACGCGUGGGUAACCUACCCUGUACACACGGAUAACAUACCGAAAGGUAUGCUAAUACGGGAUAAUAUAUUUGAGAGGCAUCUCUUAAAUAUCAAAGGUGAGCCAGUACAGGAUGGACCCGCGUCUGAUUAGCUAGUUGGUAAGGUAACGGCUUACCAAGGCGACGAUCAGUAGCCGACCUGAGAGGGUGAUCGGCCACAUUGGAACUGAGACACGGUCCAAACUCCUACGGGAGGCAGCAGUGGGGAAUAUUGCACAAUGGGCGAAAGCCUGAUGCAGCAACGCCGCGUGAGUGAUGAAGGCCUUCGGGUCGUAAAACUCUGUCCUCAAGGAAGAUAAUGACGGUACUUGAGGAGGAAGCCCCGGCUAACUACGUGCCAGCAGCCGCGGUAAUACGUAGGGGGCUAGCGUUAUCCGGAUUUACUGGGCGUAAAGGGUGCGUAGGCGGUCUUUCAAGUCAGGAGUGAAAGGCUACGGCUCAACCGUAGUAAGCUCUUGAAACUGGGAGACUUGAGUGCAGGAGAGGAGAGUGGAAUUCCUAGUGUAGCGGUGAAAUGCGUAGAUAUUAGGAGGAACACCAGUUGCGAAGGCGGCUCUCUGGACUGUAACUGACGCUGAGGCACGAAAGCGUGGGGAGCAAACAGGAUUAGAUACCCUGGUAGUCCACGCUGUAAACGAUGAGUACUAGGUGUCGGGGGUUACCCCCUUCGGUGCCGCAGNUUUUUCUUCUUCUAUGUCUACAUUAUUACCAUCUACUCUUAAACCUUUAGAAUUGUCUGUUUUUUCUUCUAUUUUAGGCAUAGUAUCAUUUAGUGUUUCUUCAAAAGUUAUAUAAUGUCUUUUAUAUCCUUCAGUAUUUAUAUUUGCUAUAUUAUUUGCUAUUGUCUGACUUCUUAGAUUAGUUGCAUCUAAUCCCAUUUUUAUAAUGUCAUAUGUAUUCACACUCACCCCUCCUCAAAAUAUAUUUUAUCUAUUUUGUUUAUUAAUAAAAAAUGAAGUUGCUAUAUUACAAAAAAGAGCAACUUUUUGAAGAAAUAUUUAAAUACAUAUUAAAAUUUUUUUAUAUUUUCAUGGGACUUCAUUGAAAAAAUAUUAGUUUUCUUACUAAAAUGAUACAUUAUUGUAUUAAUGUAAUGGAAAUGCGAUUAAUUUAAAUGAAUAAAGAAGUCAUUUUUUGUAAAAUAGUAACUUUUUGAGAUAAUUUUUCUUUAUUUUAUGUUAUAAUUGGUAAAAUAUGUUAUUAUAUGUGUUUUCUACUAAAAUAAAGUAAUUUUUCCAUAACAAAAUGACUGCCAAAAAGGCAGUCAUUCUAGACUUUUCUUAGGUAUACAAUACACCUAGGACUCUUUUUGGCAACUGGCUGACAUAGUUCAUGUAUACAAACCUUAGUCCCUAUAGCUUUGCGUCACUAGAUUUCUCUAGAUUUGCCUAUUUAGUUUUAACUUAAGUAUACAAUAAAUAACAAAUUUUUUAAAUAUUUUUUUAAGUAUUUUUUCUAUAUAAUUUUUUAAUUUAAUUUUUAAUAUUAAUUUUUAUAAUAUUUUUAAUAUAUUUAUAUUUAUAACAUUUAAUUUAUAUAAUGUACAUAUAUAUUAAAAAUAUACAAAAAUUUACAAUAUAAAAUAAAUUUAUUCUAAGUUUGUCUUUUACAAUAAUUUCAUUAAGACCAUAUAUUCUAACAUUACUUUCCAAUUAUAUGCUUAGGAGUACAUAUCUAUUUAAAGUUUUCCCUUUUAUUUUCACUUUUAGGGAUAAAAAAUUUGUAAUUUUCUCUACUUUUGAUAAAUUUUAUUUUAGACUGGUUAUAUAGGAAUACAGUCUAAAAUGUUGUAUAGAGUAACAAAAUAAAUUUAAAAAAGGUCAAACUUUAAUUAAUUUGCCCUUUAUUAUCUUAUAUUUAUUAAAAUUGAUAAUUUUUUAACUCCUUCUUAAGCCUAAAUUUAUCUAAUUAUCAAUUAAUUUUAACUAAAUAUGGUUAUUCAAAACGUAUUCUAAUACAUUAGUAUGUAUUUUUUCACCACAACUUCCAUCUGUAUUUGAUAGUACACUAUUUAAAGAAUUUAAUCUUUGAUUUAGCUUAUAAUCAUUAUUAUUUUUUACUAAGUUCAUAAAUUUUAUUAAAUCCAUAUCUUCUUCUCCUACUAUAUAAUUUGAAAAUAUAUCGAAUAUUCUUGAAUCAUAAUAUCCACGUUCCAUAUCUAUAUCAUAAAUUAAUAUAGGUUUCUUCGUUUGAAUAUAUUCUAUUAAUACAGAAGACCUAUCCGUUAUUAAAGCAUGGGAUAAGUUGAAUGAUUCAUAGUAAGAUACAGAGUCAUCUAAAAUAAUAUUAUUUUUUAUAGAUAUUGAAUCUAGCAAAGUUUUGUAUCUAUUAAAACAUUCUGGAACUUUAGAUUUUACAUACUCAAGUUCUAAUGGAUGUGGUCUAUAUAUAAGACCAUACUCUUGACUAUUUUCAAUAAUAUCAAAUACAUUUUCAAUCUCAUCAAUGACACCAUCUUUUCCAUUAGGUAUUUUCAUUAGAUUAGUUGUCCAUAAGAAAAUUAUUUUACCCUUUAAUUUAGAUUCAUAAUCUUUAUUUAUAUUAUUCUGUUUUAAAUUGUAAAUUAAAGAAUCAAAUUUUGGAGAUCCCAUUGUUAGUAUUUGAUUUUUAUUUAUACCACUACAUUCUGCUAUAAUUUCAAAUGCAGGAGAUUGCACAAUAACCUUAUCAAAAUUUCUAGAUGCUAUCAGUUCAUAAAAAUUUAAGUAAAAACUAACAGGAUAAGUUCCAAGUAUUCCAUAAGCAACAUAUACAAGCAUAUUAGUAUAUUGUUUCAAGUUAUAAGAAAAAUAAUUACUAUCUACCAUUGUAGCAUUGUUACAAUCAUCAUAUUGAUUAUGAACAUAUAUUAUAUCAGGCUUCUCCUUAGAUAAAUCAAAAUCAUCAUAAUGUAUUAUUGGAACAUAUUCAGGAAAAUCAUUACCUUCAUAUGUAUAUAUUUGAGUUAUACCAUUAGGCGUAUCAAUUAACUUGUAAUAAGGUAUGGGAACUACAUAGCAGUCACACUGCUCAUCCAAAACCGCAGAUUUCCAGAUAC